UGUCUUGAACAACUGCUUAUGAUGAAAAAAUGUCAUCAGCAGUUGUUCCAUUGACAAG
rnacentral:pre_miRNA from 1 species